rnacentral:rRNA from 1 species
GUGAGGAAUAUUGCGCAAUGGAGGCAACUCUGACGCAGCCAUGCCGCGUGCAGGAAGAAGGCGCUACGCGUUGUAAACUGCUUUUAACCGGGAAGAAACCCCAGGACGUGUCCUGGGUUGACGGUACCGGAGGAAUAAGCACCGGCUAACUUCGUGCCAGCAGCCGCGGUAAUACGAAGGGUGCAAGCGUUAUCCGGAUUCAUUGGGUUUAAAGGGUGCGUAGGCGGAGAGUUAAGUCAGUGGUGAAAUCCUGCAGCUUAACUGUAGACUUGCCAUUGAUACUGGCGCUCUUGAGUGCGCUUGAAGUGGGCGGAAUGUGCCGUGUAGCGGUGAAAUGCUUAGAUAUGGCACAGAACACCAAUUGCGAAGGCAGCUCACUAAGGCGAUACUGACGCUGAGGCACGAAAGCGUGGGGAUCGAACAGGAUUAGAAACCCUUGUAGUCC